rnacentral:rRNA from 1 species
UACAGAGGGGGCAAGCGUUGUUCGGAAUUACUGGGCGUAAAGGGCGCGUAGGCGGCCUGCUAAGUCGAACGUGAAAUCCCUGGGCUCAACCCAGGAACUGCGUCCGAUACUGGAUGGCUUGAGUUCGGGAGAGGGAUGCGGAAUUCCAGGUGUAGCGGUGAAAUGCGUAGAUAUCUGGAGGAACACCGGUGGCGAAGGCGGCAUCCUGGACCGACACUGACACUGAGGAGCGAAAGCCAGGGGAGCAAACAGG